rnacentral:lncRNA from 1 species
CUGAAUUACCUCCAAUUCACUCAACUCAACUGUAUAUAUUUAAAGGGCCCGACAGGUGGCCCCAUUGCACAACCGCCUUUAACCCGAAAACCCUUUGUGCUUCCCCCACUUCAUGUCUCGGGAGGCGUUGGGGAGGCAGUGUGUCAGUAGAAGUGUCCAAGAGUCAAUGUAAAAUAUAGAAUACUUCACGCUCAGUCUUAAUACAAAAGGAUCAGGGCAUACAUCUAUCUUCCCGUGUCGUUUAACUCGUCUCAACUAAACAUAUUUCGAUUCUCUUUUCCCAGUUAACAGAUUCAGGAUACCACCUCAAUCUUUCUGUUUCCUCUUUCAGCCCAGAAAUCAGGUAGUACUUUACUGGCCAAUACUUGCAUCUGGAUAGAUGUAGGAUUGUUCUGAUCAUCCCGAUUUAAGGGUUUUGGCUGAAAAACAUCAGGUGCUUGCGGUAAAAUGUUGAUGUGAGGAAAUGCGAAACUCACCUUUAUCUGGGCACCUUUGAUAGUUCCCGUACUGUGAUGUAUAGAAGCACCAAACUUUUGUAUCUGCAAGAAGCUUUCUAAAACAUCUUGAUGGCAGUCUAUAUAGUAUUUGGUGAUAGCAGCGUAUAGGACUGCGAAGUCAGCUCCCCAGCAGUCAUGUUCAUUGUCAGUUUAAAAGAGGACUUAACAAGACGGACGAGAAAACCGACAUCAUUUCAUAUAUAUCGUACCUUAUGUGCAUUUAACCGCCUGUCUGUCUGUUUCCACUGGCUGUGAACAAAUGCCGAAAUUCAAUAAAUGUUGUGUGGGUCACUACUCUCAUUAAUUUCACGGGACA